GUCUUACGAGACAGAACAUGGUCAUGUUGUAGAUACCGCAAGUGCAUGUCAAGUUUGAUAAAUCGCUGUAGGCUACAUGAAGUAAAGCGUAUAAACUGUAAACAUACAUCGUGCAUUCUUCUGGGGCGGAAUUCUGCAUCUCCGCCUCAAUCUGGGAUGGAUGGGAAGAAUAACGGAGCCUCGGAGGCAGGGCGAGUGCCCGCCGGGCGGGCGCCGAUGGCCCGAGGCUGGCUCUGAGUGGGUUAAAUCCACCGAGUCCCUCCAUCGCGCCUACCGCAGCCAACGACGGCCGUGACUCAGAAGCAGCUCAGACGCCGCCGCCGCCGCCACUGUCAGCAUCGGCACUCUUUGUCUCGUGGCCCUCAGACGUAGCUUCUGCCCGCGCGCUGCCAACCCUGAAAACUGCUGGGGGGUUGUGACUGAUUGGCAAGGGGGAAGAGCCGAAAAGGAAAGGAGAAAGAGGAGGAGGAGCAAGAAGAACAAGCUGACAGGUGGGACCCACACGUCGGUGUGAUAGACAAGCUGGCCCCAGCUGGCGCAGUAAACUGGACUACCCACCUGCAUUUCUUCACGCCGCCCAUCUCGCCGCCGCCGCCGUGCACCGCGGAGCUGAGCCGAGCGAACGAGCCCCUCCCACUCCGCACCAGUUCCCCCAGCUCUCCCUACCAUCUCAGGCACGCCGGCCGUCCACCUCGCCGUUUCGGUCCCCGCAUGGUCCGACACCUCUGGUCCCCGCGCGCUUCGCCGGAGACUCGCCGCGGGAGUUUAAUGGGUAAGAAGAAUUACCAGGACUGCAAGGGGACUGAAUACAAAUAUAGCGGUGGUUCGCCGGAUAUAUAUGCCAGAGAUAAAGUUCAUCAGGGCAGCAAAGAAGGACACUGCACCGACCAGAUAGGUGAUCACAGCUGAGGAGGUCACAAUAUCCAGAUGUAGUGUCCUGUGGAAAUAGGCCACAAGACUGAAGUUUGUGCUGCUGGGGCAACUUCGCAGCACGACCAAAACUGCAAGUGAACAUAGAAUCAGUUCCAACAAAUUGUCUGACUCUGGUUCGAAAUGCAUGCAACUAUAUUAUUUCAGUUUCAGAAAGAGAAACACA